UGGGCAGGCUGAUACGAACAGACAAAGCGAGCUAUUUUGGAGAACUAUCCCUAAGAGGCCAGGUGUGGUGGCUCACACCUUAUAAUCCCAACGUUUUGGGAGGACAAGGCAGGAGGAUCACUUGAGGCCCGGAGUUCAAGACCGGCCUGAACAACAUAGCGAGACCCUAUCUCUACCAUAAAAAAGACCCAGAACAUCCUCGCCAGCCUGUGCUCCCUAUGGGGCACCCCCUCCAGUGGAAGUGAGGGCAGCCACGCACCCCUGGGAAUGCCUUAGAGAGGGGCCAAUUGCCAUCGCCAGGGGCCUGACUCUGCAACCAUCCACACCUACGGGGAGUCCAUUUGAGAGAUGAGGAAGCUGAAGCUCCAGGCCCCUGGCUCGUGCUGGUCACCCAACCACCCGGAACCUGGUCGCCAACCCGCUGUCAGUUGCUCGGCAGUGGACUCCUCUCCUGGCUCAGGGCGCGGUUCCGGCAGGCGUCCACCAGGUGGCAGCACCGGCACAUUCUGCAGGCUGUUCCGGCUCAGAGCUCGAUGUAGUGCUCUGGGGUAACCUGGGCCCCAGCCUGUCCCCUCCCGCCCCCUGCAGCCCCUCCUCCCACCGCCUGCAGCCCCUCCUCCCGCUCUGUCCAGCUUCGAACAGGCCACUCAGGCCUCCCAGCCUUACUUCCACCGUGGCCCAGGCCAUGACCUUGGCCCCAACUCUGGGCCCUGCCCUAUCUGUCCUUCCUGGUGGUCUGUCUCAUUCACUGCCCUACCCAGGGGAACAGCACCUGGGGCUGGGGGGCAGAUGGCCACGUGGUCCAAUGGUCUCCUUCAUGGCUGGGGUGAAGCUGGGUGGGG
rnacentral:lncRNA from 1 species